UGCGGGAUAGAGCAGUCUGGUAGCUCAUCAGUCUCAUAAGCUGAAGAUCGGUGGUUCAAAUCCACCUCCCGCCU
rnacentral:tRNA from 1 species